AUUGAACGCUGGCGGCAUGCCUUACACAUGCAAGUCGAGCGGCAGCACGGGAGCAAUCCUGGUGGCGAGUUGCGAACGGGUGAGUAAUAUAUCGGAACGUGCCCAGUCGUGGGGGAUAACGUAGCGAAAGCUACGCUAAUACCGCAUACGAUCUAUGGAUGAAAGCGGGGGAUCGCAAGACCUCGCGCGAUUGGAGCGGCCGAUAUCAGAUUAGGUAGUUGGUGGGGUAAAGGCUCACCAAGCCGACGAUCUGUAGCUGGUCUGAGAGGACGACCAGCCACACUGGGACUGAGACACGGCCCAGACUCCUACGGGAGGCAGCAGUGGGGAAUUUUGGACAAUGGGCGCAAGCCUGAUCCAGCAAUGCCGCGUGCAGGAUGAAGGCCUUCAGGUUGUAAACUGCUUUUGUACGGAGCGAAAAGGCUCUCUCUAAUACAGGGGGCUCAUGACGGUACCGUAAGAAUAAGCACCGGCUAACUACGUGCCAGCCGCCGCGGUAA
rnacentral:rRNA from 1 species